UACGAAGGGGGCUAGCGUUGCUCGGAAUCACUGGGCGUAAAGGGUGCGUAGGCGGGUCUUUUAAGUCAGGGGUGAAAUCCUGGAGCUCAACUCCAGAACUGCCUUUGAUACUGAAGAUCUUGAGUUCGGGAGAGGUGAGUGGAACUGCGAGUGUAGAGGUGAAAUUCGUAGAUAUUCGCAAGAACACCAGUGGCGAAGGCGGCUCACUGGCCCGAUACUGACGCUGAUGCACGAAAGCGUGGGGAGCAAACGGGG
rnacentral:rRNA from 1 species